GGUAUUGAUUGGUGCUUGCAUCAUGAUUUACAUUUGAGUGAGUGGCGAACUGGUGAGUAACACGUGGGAAACCUGCCCAGAAGCGGGGGAUAACACCUGGAAACAGAUGCUAAUACCGCAUAACAACUUGGACCGCAUGGUCCGAGCUUGAAAGAUGGCUUCGGCUAUCACUUUUGGAUGGUCCCGCGGCGUAUUAGCUAGAUGGUGGGGUAACGGCUCACCAUGGCAAUGAUACGUAGCCGACCUGAGAGGGUAAUCGGCCACAUUGGGACUGAGACACGGCCCAAACUCCUACGGGAGGCAGCAGUAGGGAAUCUUCCACAAUGGACGAAAGUCUGAUGGAGCAACGCCGCGUGAGUGAAGAAGGGUUUCGGCUCGUAAAACUCUGUUGUUAAAGAAGAACAUAUCUGAGAGUAACUGUUCAGGUAUUGACGGUAUUUAACCAGAAAGCCACGGCUAACUACGUGCCAGCAGCCGCGGUAAUACGUAGGUGGCAAGCGUUGUCCGGAUUUAUUGGGCGUAAAGCGAGCGCAGGCGGUUUUUUAAGUCUGAUGUGAAAGCCUUCGGCUCAACCGAAGAAGUGCAUCGGAAACUGGGAAACUUGAGUGCAGAAGAGGACAGUGGAACUCCAUGUGUAGCGGUGAAAUGCGUAGAUAUAUGGAAGAACACCAGUGGCGAAGGCGGCUGUCUGGUCUGUAACUGACGCUGAGGCUCGAAAGUAUGGGUAGCAAACAGGAUUAGAUACCCUGGUAGUCCAUACCGUAAACGAUGAAUGCUAAGUGUUGGAGGGUUUCCGCCCUUCAGUGCUGCAGCUAACGCAUUAAGCAUUCCGCCUGGGGAGUACGGCCGCAAGGCUGAAACUCAAAGGAAUUGACGGGGGCCCGCACAAGCGGUGGAGCAUGUGGUUUAAUUCGAAGCUACGCGAAGAACCUUACCAGGUCUUGACAUACUAUGCAAAUCUAAGAGAUUAGACGUUCCCUUCGGGGACAUGGAUACAGGUGGUGCAUGGUUGUCGUCAGCUCGUGUCGUGAGAUGUUGGGUUAAGUCCCGCAACGAGCGCAACCCUUAUUAUCAGUUGCCAGCAUUAAGUUGGGCACUCUGGUGAGACUGCCGGUGACAAACCGGAGGAAGGUGGGGAUGACGUCAAAUCAUCAUGCCCCUUAUGACCUGGGCUACACACGUGCUACAAUGGAUGGUACAACGAGUUGCGAACUCGCGAGAGUAAGCUAAUCUCUUAAAGCCAUUCUCAGUUCGGAUUGUAGGCUGCAACUCGCCUACAUGAAGUCGGAAUCGCUAGUAAUCGCGGAUCAGCAUGCCGCGGUGAAUACGUUCCCGGGCCUUGUACACACCGCCCGUCACACCAUGAGAGUUUGUAACACCCAAAGUCGGUGGG
rnacentral:rRNA from 2 species